AAUUUAUUUUUUCAUUAGAAUAAAUGAAAGAAAAUUUUGUAAAACAUUAAUUACCUUUGUGUAAAAGUGUGAAGUGACAUAUAUUCUGAUAGGAAAAAGGAGUAACUUAAUUCUUCUCUCACUGAUCGGCACCAUCGCUCUCUUACCGAUCUGCCAUGGCUGAGAACCUUAAUUCUUGGUUUCAGCACCUUCUACUUCGUUCUCCGACACGACCUUUAAUUGUUCUCCACCGCAAGGAACCUUGCAUUUCCGAUUCACUUACGCUAAGUCUCUCUCCGAUACAGUCAAUUUUCUGUCAUGCAUCUCUUCGGAACCUCAGCUGAAGCAUGGGUUGGUGAUGCAGGAGGGGCUUACAGUAAUGGCCAUCAUCUUGUGUCUGAUGCAUUUGAUCAACAAGGUGUUGAGAUAGAUAGAGAUAUAUUAGUUAACGUAAAAUGGCUUUGAAGAUUUUUUAUGUUCCUUUUCGUUAUUGAAGAAUAUGGUGACUGUGGUCUUUUUGGAACUUCUUUUAGUUGUAGAUACUUCGUGUUGGGUGGUUGAAGUGUGGAUUCAUUACAACUCUGCAAAAUUUGGACAAGUUUAUGCAGUAGCUUCAACUUGUCUCGUAAGCUUUCACAAUACUUUUGCACAUAGUUCAUUGUUCCACUAUCAAGCUAAAUGCUAAUAGAUUCUUAUUCCACUAUCAAGCUAAAUGCUCAGCUUUGACUACAUGUAUAUAUCAGUUAUGUAUUUCCAUGCCUAUCUAUUGAAAUAGUUAAGUCCCAUAGGCAGUUGAUUUUACAUUAGAGGAAUUAAAUUCGUCAAGGGUGUAUCAGAGGUAUAGCUUCAUAGGUGAAUAGUAUAAUUGUUAGUCCCUCCCUACACUUAGAGAUAUAUCAUGGUUUAUGAAUCAGCAUCAAUAACUCUAAAUUCAAUUGGGGAAGUAAAAAGCAUCAAGUUAAGCUACUCUAUCUUAUAUUGAAUUGCUAAAAUGUGGUUUUUAAUGUCCUCAUUGUUUUUUAUUUUGUUUACAUACAUACAGGUUACAGAACAAGUGAUUCAGAUUCAUGUGUUCUAGAGAACAAAUCUAUUCCUUAGUUUGCAAGUAUGAAGUUAAUGGAUAGACUUAACCAAUGCUUUAUUGUUUUCUAAUUAAUAUGAGCUUGAAUUUCAAUUUUGUAAUAAAACAUAUGAUUACUUGUUGGCACUAAUGCUUGUGCUAGCUUAUUUACUUUGGCAUCCAAAACCUUAGUUGAAUCUUGCUAAUCUGGAAUUGUUCCAUUUUGGUCAUGUUCAAAUGCAGGAACAACUCUAGAACAAAUCUAGAAUGCAGAUUAAUUGUUACAUUGAUUUUUGGUCUAGUUUUGUUUCUCUUUUCUGGUUUUUCUGUUGGCUUAAUUGUGUGUUUGCAUGAUUUUUUUGUGUUUGUUUAAGCUUCGUGCCUGACUCUGUUAUGUCAUCAGGGGCCAGAGGGUUACACAAUCUAUCUUUUUGGAUUUGUGCUAGCUCUGUUAUGUCAUCAGGGGCCGGAGGGUUACAAAAUCAAGCUGCAAGACAAGUAUGUGUGUUUUUGUCUUAUAGUUUAAGCUUUCAACUGUUGCCUUGAUUUGAUCUAUAAACAUUUACUAUGAUAUAAUAUGCUUUCUGUUCUCUAAAUGUCAAUUAGACUUCUCAUUUGUUUGGCAUAGUCAAUACAUAUCAAACUAUUUCUUCUUAUCAGUUUUGAAAAUCCCUUGAUGCAAAACAGAAAGUAGGGAUGUUGACAGAAUUUAUGAAUUUUGGUAAUAUGGACAAUGUAGUCUAGAAACUAAAGAAGGGUUAGAUAUUGGCCACUGGUCUGCUGUCAUAAUUCUUUCGUAUUGCUGCCAAUUUUGAAUAAGUUAUGUGGAUGGAAAGUAGGGAGUGUCUUGUUUUUGAUGUGGUGUGUUGCUGCUAUUGGUAUUGCAUGGAAAGAUGUUAUUCACUAUUCUCUAGUGGCUACUCUUGGUGUUGAUAGUCUUUGUAGUUUGUUUGGUGUUCAUGGAUGGAUCUUGCUGCUGCCUAGUUUAGAUUAGGUUGUUCUUUGAAAUACUUUUGGGUGUUUUGAGUUUUGACAGAUUUUGUAGUAUGUUCAAUCUGAUGUACCUAGUUGAAUUCAAUAAAAUAGACAGCCCCGUUUGGCCCUACUUUUUUUCUACUUUUUUUCUUCUCCUUAAAAGUAGUAAAGAAGCAAAAAAUUGUGUUUGACCCAACUUCUCCUUAUUUUCUACUUCUUUACUUUAUUUCUCUAAUUCUUUUAAGGAGAAAUAGGGUCAAAUACAAUUUUCUACUUCUCUAUUUCUUUUAAGGAGAAGUAGAAAAGUAAAAAAAUAAGUAGGGCCAAACGGGGCUAACAAAAGAAAGUUGUAUUAUAAACAGUUUGACAUAGUUUAUUUAGAUAAAUGGUUCGAUAGAAUGUUAAUGGUUAGAUACAAGAGAGCUUAAAUGGUGCAGAGGGGUUAUUUUUAGAAAAUGUUAAAAAGAGUAGUUGAAAUCUAUUAACCUUUUCUCUAA